rnacentral:rRNA from 1 species
UUAGGAAUCUUGGACAAUGGGCGCAAGCCUGAUCCAGCCAUGCCGCGUGAGUGAUGAAGGCCCUAGGGUUGUAAAGCUCUUUCAGCGGGGAAGAUAAUGACGGUACCUGGAGAAGCAGCUGCGGCUAACUACGUGCCAGCAGCCGCGGUAAUACGUAGGCAGCAAGCGUUGUUCGGAAUUACUGGGCGUAAAGGGUGCGUAGGCGGCGCUCUAAGUUUGGUGUGAAAUCUCCCGGCUUAACUGGGAGGGUGCACUGAAAACUGGGGCGCUCGAGUAUGGGAGAGGACAGCGGAAUUCCUGGUGUAGCGGUGAAAUGCGUAGAGAUCAGGAGGAACACCUGCGGUGCAGACGGCUUUCUGGACCAUCACUGACGCUGAGGCACGAAAGCGUGGGUAGCAAACA